AGUGACGCCGCGUGGGGGAUGAAGGCCUUCGGGUCGUAAACCCCUGUCAGGAGGGAAGAAUGUUUGGUAGGUGAAUAGCCUACUGAACUGACGGUACCUCCAGAGGAAGCCACGGCUAACUCCGUGCCAGCAGCCGCGGUAAUACGGAGGUGGCAAGCGUUACUCGGAAUUACUGGGCGUAAAGCGCGCGUAGGCGGGAAGGUAAGUCAGCCGUGUAAGCCCGGGGCUUAACCCCGGAAUUGCGGCUGAAACUGCCUUCCUUGAGUCCCGGAGAGGCCGGCGGAAUUCCCGGUGUAGGGGUGAAAUCCGUAGAUAUCGGGAGGAACACCGGUGGCGAAGGCGGCCGGCUGGACGGGUACUGACGCUGAGGCGCGAAAGCGUGGGGAGCAAACAGGAUUAGAUACCCUGGUAGUCCACGCCGUAAACGAUGGGCACUAGGUGUGGGGGAGGUCAUCUCCUCCGUGCCGUAGCUAACGCGUUAAGUGCCCCGCCUGGGGAGUACGGA
rnacentral:rRNA from 1 species